rnacentral:lncRNA from 1 species
AUUUAAAGUCAGAUUUGGGUUACGCUCUGACUUCUUCCACUUAUAAGCUUGGACAAGUCUCUUAAUUUUCUCAUCUGUAAAGCAGGUAACAAUGGUACCUACCAUACAGUCUGCUAUCAGAAUAUAGUGAAAUAACUAUGUGAAGUGCUUAGAACAAGGCCGGUUGAGCUUUUGAUUCAAGUAAUGUAAGCUCUAUAUAUAAAUAUUAAAGGUCAUUGACACCUAAUGGUUUUAAGCUCUUUAUCCCGCUGUUGGCUAUAUUGCUUUCUUUAAAGCAUUUCUGAUAUUAUAGGGUCAGUCAAGAAAUAAAAUGCUCUUAGACCAUAAAAAUUUUGCAAGCACACACCCAUUCUAAGACCACAUCAGUUGUGCCAAAAGAAAAAGGGGGGAACACCUGGGAUGCUCAGACAGUUAAGUGCCUGACUUUGGCUCAGAUCACGAUCUAGCAGUUUGUGAGUUUGAGCCCUGAUAGGACCAUCUGCAGAGCAUGCUUGCGAUUCACUCUCUCCCCUUUCUCUCUGCCCCUCCUCUACUUGCUGUCUCUCAAAAUAAGUAAAAAAAAAUUUUAAAGAUAAAGAAAGAAAGAAAAAAAGAAAGAAAGAAAGAAAGAAAGAAAGAAAGAAAGAAAGAAAAAAGAAAAAGAAAAGGAAAAGCUACCUACAGAGCAUUACAACCUACUCUCAUGGUUUCUUGCCCUUCAAGUCUGUGGAGGAGAGAGCAACGUGUUUUUUCAUUUGACUUCUCCUAGCUCCUUAGCAAAGAAUUUAAAUUCCUUCCUCCAUGUUUUGGCAUCCUCAUUCCAGGUUUUUGGAAGCUUCGGACAGAGCACGGGUGAAGAGAUGGGGAUGGCAUGGAGGAACCUUCCAGAUCAUAGAAGGCCCUCGUUACCCAGACUCUCUGUGGCUGAUUACUGCAGACUCUUUCAUCAAGACUCCAGGACCCAGGGAGGCCGUGGCUAUGCAUCUCCUUUGAGGAAGGGCUUGGCAUUAAAGAAUCCUCAUAGCCCAUUUGACCCAGUUAUCUUGCCCUGGUGGUCAGAGAACAUCUUUACCUUAAACUCUACCUCUCCGAGUCCUGUUAGACACUAAUGCCAUCUCUCUAAAUUGCAUUCAGAGCCUGUCAGUCAUACUGGAUUCAGAUUUAAAGCUCAUAUUAAUGAAAAUUUUAUUUUAAGAAUUGGAACAGGAGAAAUAACAUAUGCUUGCACUAAUGGGAGAAAACAAUAGCAAUUGCAUCUGCACGUUAUGGUUGGGUCUCAGAUUCAAUGAACUCUGGAAUGAGAUGGAAAAUAUAAUAAGCAUGAUUCUGAAAAUUGAAUAAUCAGCAUUCCAUGUGGUUCCAAUUGUAAUGGAUGGAAAAACAUAAGCAAAAUAAAAGGAUUGUUUGCUCUUAAACUUUUCUGAGC